CACUCUCAUUGUGUUUUAUUUACCAGCUUGCUUUUAAAGAGCCAGGACCAGUCCACUAGCUGUGCAGAGUGCUGACCUCUUGGAUGAGAGCCCUGACCUCAUAGGAUAUCUGAGCUUGUCAUAAUUCAGGUGGGUUCUGUAGGGAAGCAGGGGCUCGUGGGGAGUGGGAGGAAGCUGGGGAGAAGAUGAGUUGAGAGCAGUCCAGUGUGAGGGAAAGUGGGGAUCCUGGGCCAACUUACCAUUAAGAGGGUCCAGUCCUGUGACUGCUGUGAAGUAACCAGGAUUCCACAUAGAGAUGGGGCUCAAAGUCAGCCCAGGAGCAGCACUGUGGUCCCAGCACCUCUGGGCCAGUCCAGCCAGGUGUAGAGUGAAGCUGAGCCCUUGAUUCAUCCUUGAUUCCAUUGUGAAGUCACACAGCAGCUUGAACUAAUAUUUGGCGACUCCAAGGCCAGGGAUAAAAAUGAAGAGAUGGAGAGACAAGAUUUCCUGGCCUCUAAUUGGCAGCACCCGUUGACUCUGCUCGUGACCAGACUCAUGAACGCUUCAUCCAAGGUUUCAUGUCAUCCGUGUGAGGAACCUCUCUGAUUUGAGAAAAUCUUUCUUAAAAUGGGCUUCUAGUUGUAAAGCCAUUGUCUUUUUAGGAAAUCAUCAAAUACCUUAAAGCUAGACACGCAAUCAGCUGCAUAAAUGACACACUCACUAAAUCAAUCCUUUAUCAGGUGGUCCUUCAAGGAUUUCUUGGUUUUGGGUUUUGAAAUGUGUAAGGUUUGCUGCUAGCAACUCCACAUUUUUUUAUUCACUCACAAAGACACAUGGUCAUAAAUAAAAUGCAUGGAACCAGCGAGACAAUAGCACAGCAGUAAUGUCAUUUUAUAUGCAGCAUGGCCCUGUUGUGAACGGAAUGAUUGUGAACGGAAUGAUGGCCAAGGAGCUUUAUGCUUCUGCACCGCCAGCUCACACGAUGGUCCGUGUAUUGCCCCGUGGAAAACCGGGGGUGGAAAGCUGUCUCCACGUUCUGCUGCCGAAGCAGCAAGCUGAUUCACACAUCUUGAAGGCACAGUGGAACAUGGAAGGGUGCAUAUGAGACUUGAUUUUGAGGAUGAAACUUCCUGUCUGAAUCGCUAAGUCUCCCAGCAGGGGUGUUAAUGUCCCUGUGAGAUGCAGGCUUCCCACAGACACACCCAGGUUGCGAGUGGGUUCAACAUGGUCACAGGAGCUUCAAAUGGUGAUCCUGAUGCUCAUGGCCAUGCAUUGAGAACAACUGUGUAAGAAGAUAUGGAUAAUGCUUGAAAACUACUAGUAUUAGCACCAUUUUGCAUAUACUCCAAGGAAGAUCUCAAUAAAUGCUUAAUGGAAAUAAGUAAAGGUAUGAAUGCUGGACCUAAUACAGGAGGAAGACCCAGGUGAUUUGUGUACAAUUUGGACACAAGCUCUUGCCAACCACCUGAGAGAUUCCAACAAUGAGAUGAGAUUCCUUACCUUGAACCAGAUAAUUUGGAAUGAAUGUCUAGGCAGAACUUCUGCUUCAGAAUGACCACAAUUAACUACCAGACAACCAACUUUGGGGACAUAUCAGUAGGUGCAGAGCAUUUAGAACUGGAAGGACCAUUUGAAAUACAUAGUUCAUCUCUCUCAUGUUACUGAGGAGGAAAACUGAAGUGCACGGAGGUAAAGUAACUCGCCCAGUAUCACAAUUUGUGUUUGUACCAUUGCUGAGGUGAGCACCUGGGCCUUCUAACCCCAAA
rnacentral:lncRNA from 1 species